ACCACUUUCCCUCUAGCCCCCCUCUAUCUCUCUCUAAACUCCACCUUUGCUGACUUGCAGCUCUUCCUUUCGCUCUAUAACCGCCAGAUCCCACUCUGCUUUCCUCAACCCGCUCCGAUACCAAACGAUUGAUUCGCCGCCAAUGUCUGGCGGCGCUCAAACCUCCUCUCGCUCGGCACCUCCGCCGCCUCAGUCAGGCCCGAUCCACCAGCCUAUGAGGCGCCAUCUGGCGUUCAUGCCUAUGAAGCCGCCUUUUGCUGUUCCCGAUGAUUAUCACCACUUCUCCUCUGGGAGCGUUGCUCGCCGACUAGCCGAUCAGGAACCUGAAACCAUUGUAGUGAGAUCUCCUCAAUUAAAGCGGAAGAGUGGAGCUGAAAACAAUGAAGUUGAGUCUAAUGGGUGGGCUAGCAGUCCUGGUUACACCAGUCUAUCUAAUAGUCCAUUCCAAACACCCAUGUCUGCUAAAGUUGGAAGGGCAUAUAAUCGUUCAAAGGCUUCCAAGGGCAAUAGAUCUGGGCCCGAGACCCCAAAUGUUGGUUCACCCUCAACUCUUACUCCAGGUGGCAGCUGCCGCUAUGACAGUUCCUUAGGUCUGUUGACAAAAAGAUUCAUUAAUUUGAUUAAGCAUGCUGAAGAUGGUGUUCUUGACCUCAACAAGGCCGUAGAGACUUUGGAGGUCCAGAAGAGGCGCAUAUAUGACAUAACAAAUGUCUUGGAAGGAAUUGGUCUCAUAGAAAAGAAGCUCAAGAAUAGAAUACAUUGGAAGGGAAUUGAUGCUUCAGGUACUGGGAAGUUGGACGGUGAUAUCUCAAUAUUACAGGCAGAAACUGCAAAACUUUCUGCGGAAGAGCACAGAUUAGAUGAUCAAAUAAGAGAUAUGCAUGAAAGAUUGAGAGAUUUGAGUGAAAAUGAUAACAAGCAAAAGUGGCUUUUUGUGACUGAAGAAGACAUAAAAAAUAUACCCUGUUUUCAGAAUGAAACCCUCAUCGCAGUUAAAGCUCCUCAUGGUACCACUCUGGAAGUCCCUGAUCCUGAUGAAGAUGACUAUCCACAGAGGAGGUACAGGAUAGUCCUUAGAAGUACAAUGGGUCCCAUUGAUGUCUACCUUGUCAGUCAAUUUGAGGAGAAGUUUGAAGAGAUGAAUCAUGUAGAGCCUCCCAUGAGCCUCCCCCUUGCUUCCAGUUCAGGGUCUAAUGAAAACCAAACAACAGAGAUGGUCACGGUUGAUAACAUCCAACAGGAACUUGGACCCUAUGUGCCAGAAACUCAAACCACGGGCUGUGAUCUUAAUGCUUCUGAGGAAUUUGUUGGUAGAAUGAUGAAGAUUGUUCCUUCUGAUGUUGAUACAGAUGCAGACUACUGGCUUCUUUCAGAUGCAGGAGUUAGCAUUACAGAUAUCUGGAGGACAGAUUCGAAUGUUGAAUGGAAUGGGGUAAAUAUGCUACCUUCUGAGUUUGAACUUCCUGAUAUCAGUAUCCCAAUGCCGCCACAAAAUGCACCUUCUGGGAUUAACAGGGUGCCAUCUACUGCUGUUAACCACAAUUAGAGGUGAAGGUUGAUUAGCCUAAUGAGCGAGCUCAGAAUACUGAUAUAUACGCAUCAACAACCUUCGAUGUCCAAUCUUCAAGGCUUAAACAUGCAAACCAGGUAUCUGAAUGCAGACUGCUGAAACACUUGGAGGAAGUCAAUAGACAAUAACUGGAGCGUUAUUGAUAUCGGUUAAAAAGAGGCUCUCAUCCGUAUUAGGUUCUCCGUUGAUUUUUACAUGCCCAAUCUCAGUCAAGGUGAAACAAAGGAGGAACUCCAAUUUCAUGGAAUGCAAUGACAUUAGUGGAAGCCAUUACGUGGAAAAGCGUUCCUUAGACUCGGAAACUUUUUGAAAGGCAAAGGAGCGUGAGAGGAGAACGCACAAGACAUGUGGAAUAAAAUAUUUAUAUAUAUAUAAAGGCCACUUUUUUUUAUUUUAAUAAAGGCGAUGUUUUGAAAACAAUUAAUUAAGUGGCUGAUGGGUCUGUUUGCCAUUCUUAAGGGCAAAUACAAUGGUAAAGUAUUAUUGGGUCAACAAAGAUGUAUUUUGUUGUUGUGAUUGUAUUGUAAAAUAUAUUUUGUUUAUGUGGCUAUAUUGAGAUAAGUGU